CGCCCGCAGACAACUUCCCUUAACCUGGCUCUGCCCAGUGAGUCACCAAACAACUGCUUCCUGUUCCCCGCAUGCCCUCAUGGAGUCUCAGGAGAUGAGAUGAAGCUGCUCCCUUUUCUCCUGGGAUUUUACCCGUCAGAUUCCUGGCAGCUGUGCACGGCGCCUGUGCCGGCCGUCACGUCCCAUUCCGAUCUCUGGGUCGCACGGUAAGAGGAGGACACAGGAUGCGCAGGGAGUGAAAAAGUGAUGUCGGUGGGGAGAGUGCCAAGUCCCCACUCGCAGCCAUGGGACACUUGGGGAGCAGGGGAAGCAUGCCGCUGCAGAGUUCAGAGGCCGGUAGUGAGGUUUAUUUUUGUUUGUAUGAGUAAAAAGCUGCAGAAGCCUCUGGUGGGGGUGAGGGGGGUGCAACCGGAAUGCUGUGGUUCAGACAGACUGGCCCUGGCAUGGAGUCAAGCGUGCUGACCCGGAAGGAGAGUUCCACAGGAACCUUCUAACAGCAGCUGAGGUUGGGCCACAGUGAUCCCUGGAUAGUGCCCUUGGAACCCAAGCAACACACGGACACUCUGAAUCAGGUUGGUAGCAAUAAGGACCCAAGUUGGCAUAAAAUGUGGAAGAAAAAAAUAAUUCUGUUUCUGGAAGGUGCUAAGUAACUAACUUUCUCUAAGGUAUGGGAGUUUCCUGGAGCAAGCUGGCAGAGAACUGGGAAAGAGAUCAUAUACAAUAAUACCUAAGGAGGAAGCUAACAGGCUUGGGUCUCCAGGAAAAACUUUUGCAGGUUAAGUUCCUUCUCUACGGUGGAGAUGAUCUUAUGAUGCUUACCGCUGCAAGCUGAGACACUGAACAUUACAAGUAACAGCAAUUCAAUGAGCUGACACAGGAGGUGUGGCACUUGGAGAACCUGGAUCAUGAAGCAGAGCAAGACCAGGAGAGGGCCUUCUGAGGUCUUCCUUCUGCUUAGGGGCUCCCAUAGGGAGUGCGGCUGCUUCCUUCCCUCUACAGGGUGAAGAAUCAUUCAUCCCUGAGCCUCUCUGGCCAGAGCAAUGUCUUCAACAGAAAUUAGAAGCUUUGUAACACAGGAAAUUUCCACAUUCACCUUAUAUAUGAAAGUACCUAGCAAAGUGCCUGACACAUAUUAGUAACUCAAUAAAUGCCAGCUUCCUUUCUUCCUUCCUAA